CCGGUGGGUGGGCAGCCUCACCCUCAGGGGGUGGAGCUUAGAAGGCUGAAUCUAGACCCUUAUGUUAGGGGCAAAAUGCGGUUCCAAAAACUUUGGGAAGAAGGGAGGUCUGGAGAACGGAUUCUCCCCGCUCCCGAACUCUGUGAAGCCCCUUCCAGCUGGGGAAGGAGAGAGGAGAGACGGAGGAGAGGCAAGGGGGCUGGGUGGCCCUGGGCUCCAGGAGCGGCCCUGCAGCCUGCCUCUCAGGGGACACCUGGGGAAACGCAGAAUCCAGGGGAACGUGAGUCACAUUCUGAGGUCCUGGGGGUUAAGAGUACAACAUAUGAAUUUUGGAGGAGGAGGCACAAUUCAGCCCAUAAUUAAGGUAUCAGCUCUCAAUUUUUGUGGUUGCUUUGCAGAUGACACAAGCUAGUGUAGGCAAAGUGCUCAGAAUAGUGUCAGUGUGCUUCAACUCCUGCGGCCAGGAAAAUCGAACGUCUGCUCCAUGAGGAAAAUCGAACGUCUCCUCCACAACAUCCAACACAGCAGAUGUUGUUAGGGAAGCUGGUGGCUUCACCGCUAAUCAGCUUAACUCUGAAUUUUUGUUUCCACUUUGAUUUUGGCCCCUGAGGUUUCAUACUCAGCUCAGUGACUCAAAAAAGAAAAAAAAAAAAAGUUUUGAGGGCACCUGGGUGGCUCAGUCGGUUAAGCAUCCACCUCUUGGUUUCAGCUCACGUUAUGAUCUCACAGUCACGAGAUCUAGUCCCAUGUUGGGCU